GAUUACAAUAAACCUUUGAGUAGUAAACAAAUGUUUUGUUUUAAUUCUAGAAGUGAAAACAGAUGAUCUAUCCCUGGACAAUUCCUUGGAGAAGAAAAAUGUGGAAGACAUUGAGUUUUAUGAAGAAAAUGAUGAAAUUCCUUAUUUUCCUCAAGAUUUUGAAGUUGCAAAAUAUAACAUAUUAGAAAAAGUAGGAGUGGAUGGAGGCCAAGAAACAGCUGUGGUGGAGCUGCAGUGCACCCUGGAGCCUGGAGAUUGUCCUUUUAUGGUAUCUGCACAUUUCCUCCUGGCUGAUGGUGUGCAGGUAAAAUUCUUUAUGUUGAUUCCUGUUGCUAACCAGUUUCCUUGAAACUCAUUAAGAAACCA
rnacentral:lncRNA from 1 species